GAUGAACGCUCGCGGCGUGCUUAACACAUGCAAGUCGAACGGAAAGGCUCCUGCUUGCAGGGGUGCUCGAGUGGCGAACGGGUGAGUAACACGUGGGUGAUCUGCCCUGCACUUCGGGAUAAGCCUGGGAAACUGGGUCUAAUACCGGAUAGGACCACAUUUUGGAUGGUGUGGUGGAAAGUUUUUCGGUGUGGGAUGAGCUCGCGGCCUAUCAGCUUGUUGGUGGGGUAAUGGCCUACCAAGGCGUCGACGGGUAGCCGGCCUGAGAGGGUGUACGGCCACAUUGGGACUGAGAUACGGCCCAGACUCCUACGGGAGGCAGCAGUGGGGAAUAUUGCACAAUGGGCGCAAGCCUGAUGCAGCGACGCCGCGUGGGGGAUGACGGCCUUCGGGUUGUAAACUCCUUUCGCUAGGGACGAAGCGUUUUUGUGACGGUACCUGGAGAAGAAGCACCGGCUGACUACGUG
rnacentral:rRNA from 1 species